CAACGGUUUCUCCCGAGCUACUCUCGCGUGCCCACCCAUCCACUCAUAGUUGCGGUUCCAGUCGAUUCGGGGUCUCGUUGGCGAGCGGUGAGUGGGACGAGCGUAGGCGGCAGCGGCUUCUGUCGGAUUUCCGGCGGCGAGUGGUCGGCGGCAGCUGUGCUGCGUUCGUCGACAACGGAAGGGGCGACAAGCAGCUUACCGCGAGCUCGGUUCUGAUUUUGACGGCGCGGCUGUCCACAGAGGAGCAGACCCGAGCCCUUGAUAUCCAUCGGCGGCAGCAGCCGUUUCUCUCUCUCCCUCCCUCAGGCCAAGAGCAUACAGGUGAUUCUCUCUCCUCAGGUGAAGAAGCUCGUCCCAGUGGUUAAAUCUCCUCCGGCGAAGCCGACUCUCCCUCCACUUCACUCCGGUCGGCAGCGGCUUCGUACGGCUCGACCGUCGAGGGGCCUUCCUGCACCUGCAGCACGACCUCCGACCCCCCGAGCUGCUGCCCUGCCGCCGAGUAAGAGCUCCAUGAUUAAUUUUCUGAGAUUAAUUUUACUGCACUGCUAGCUAAUUUUGCAACGAUUUGCACAGCCGCAGGUCCUCAUCUUCCCUUCACCGACGUGUUCGACGAGCUGCACGACCGCCCGCACUCAUCUACUGUUAAGAACACAUUACAGGGUGCUUAUGCUUAUGAUAUAAAUGGGAAAAAGUAUAUAGAUGCUCUUGCGGGACUGUGGUGUACAGCUCUAGGUAUGUGCAAUGUGCAAUCUAUAGAGAUAUAUUUUAUGAUAUACCUGAACUUGUUGCAUUAUUAAGAUAAUGUGAGUUGUAUCACCUAUUAUUUCUUCACUGUCUUAGUGCAGUAGACAGGUAGCCAAAUUUAGAUUUUAGACUCAAAAGUCGUUGCAAUCUAACGAGCUUUGACAGGUAUUUAAGUAAUUACCAGGUAAUGUAGGUGUUGCGCACUGAUCACUUCUGGAUUAGCAAGAGUAUAAAAAGUGAUGUGUGAAAGAAUCACUUAAUACUUUGUCAGAAAUUAAAAUCAGAACUAUUAAGAGCUACCUUAUUGACUAAUCACAUUUUUUUUAAAGGACAGGCUAUUCCUACUUUAAGUUUCUAUAGUUCACAAUAGUGCCAGAAUGAACAAGAGAAUUACUACUUUCUUGUUCAGUUUUAGCAAAAAUUUGAAACUACUUUCUUGUUCAGUUUUAGCAUUAAUUUGAAAUCUGGUGCUAUCAUUACACUAUUUUCCUGUUUUGCAUUCCUGGAAGGAUUUUGUUUUUCUAGAUUUCUACAGAGCAAAGUUGUAGUUUAUUUCUACGUCGUUCAUGCUGCCCCUGAAUGCUUGCUGGAUGACGAUGGACCUUGUUUUCUGUAUGCUCGUGUUUUGACUUGUCUUGCGAUUAAGUGUAUCAGCCAUGAGAAAUAUCAUGUUGGAUCAAGUUUAGAUUAUUAAGAAUGCAAUGCUUACUGUGUUUCAAAUUUAUUUU